CCGAGUUUACAACUCCCAAACCCCUGUGAACAUACCUAUAUGUUGCCUCGGCGGAUCAGCCCGCGCCCCGUAAAAAGGGACGGCCCGCCGCAGGACCACUAAACUCUGUUUUUAUUGUAACUUCUGAGUAUAAAAAACAAAUAAAUCA
rnacentral:misc_RNA from 1 species